UCCCAGACUCCUACGGGAGGCAGCAGUGGGGGAUAUUGCACAAUGGGGGGAACCCUGAUGCAGCGACGCCGCGUGGGUGAAGAAGCGCCUCGGCGCGUAAAGCCCUGUCAGCAGGGAAGAAAAUGACGGUACCUGAAGAAGAAGCCCCGGCUAACUACGUGCCAGCAGCCGCGGUAAUACGUAGGGGGCAAGCGUUAUCCGGAUUUACUGGGUGUAAAGGGGGCGCAGACGGCGAUGCAAGCCAGGAGUGAAACCCCGGGGCUCAACCCCGGGCAUGCAUUGGAAACUGGCGGGCUGGAGUGCCGGAGAGGUAAGCGGAAUUCCUAGUGUAGCGGUGAAAUGCGUAGAUAUUAGGAGGAACACCAGUGGCGAAGGCGGCUUACUGGACGGCAACUGACGCUGAGGCUCGAAAGCGUGGGGAGCAAACAGGAUUAGAUACCCUAGUAG
rnacentral:rRNA from 1 species